rnacentral:rRNA from 1 species
ACAGGGAGACAGGUGGUGCAUGGUGUCGUCAGCUCGUGUCGUGAGAUGUUGGGUUAAGUCCCGCAACGAGCGCAACCCCUACGUUUAGUUGCUAACGCGUGAAGGCGAGCACUCUAGACGAACUGCCGUUGACAAAACGGAGGAAGGUGGGGAAUGGACGUCAAUCAUCAUGCCCCUUAUGUUCUGGGCUACACACGUGCUACAAUGGCCGGUACAGACGGACGCAAAGCCGCGAGGUGGAGCAAAUCCUAAAAAGCCGGUCUCAGUUCGGAUUGCAGGCUGCAAUUCGCCUGCAUGAAGUCGGAAUCGCUAGUAAUCGCAGGUCAGCAUACUGCGGUCGAAUACGUUCCCGGGCCUU